AUGGAUUUUAAAACAACAGGCGUUUUGGAUAGUAAGAGUAAUAUACAUUUUAAUAAUAACAAUAAUAAUAAUAAUACUAACUGUGUUAGUACACAAAAUAAAACGAGUAGUAAAAAUGAUAACAAAGAUGAUACUUUUAGAAGCUACCGUUUCGGUAGCGUUAUGAGUAAGAACGAUUACGACGCAAUUACUGAAAAUAAAAAUAUGACUAAUAUAUCAAAGACCAUUACUGUUAAAUUUGAUAAUAAUAAAAAUUAUAAUUUAAAGCAUAACAUUAGUUCUACAAAAGAAGAUAACAACAUUUCUAUGAAUAUAAAAAAACAAUCCAAUAGCAUAAAUGUUAGUCCAUAUAUUAAAAUAAAUAAUAAUGAAAAUCUUUCAAAUAAAUUAUUAAAUUUGAAUAGGUAUAUGGCUUACAAUACGAAUAAUAAAAACGAAAAACUUCAAAAUAAUAUUCAUUCUGAAUGUAGUAGUAUGCACAACAAAAACCCGCAGUUAGAUGAGUCAAAUGUGAAUAUAACAAAUAAAAAUGCAAACAUAGCAAAUAAAAAUGCAAAUGUGACAAGUUUAGGUGUACACAAUGCAUGUUAUAACGAAUAUAGUAAGUACUAUAGAUCUGGUAGUAGCAAAAGUAUUGAAACCCCAUAUUCGAAUACUCCUUAUUUAAGUAAUCGAAAUGUUAGUACCCCAACUUUGAACAACAACAAUUCUUACCAGAAUGUUAACAACUUUAAUUUGAUUAAGACAACAUAUAACACAAAAGAAGAUAAGCAUAAUGUUGUAUCAUUUGCGAAACAUAAUUAUGUACACAACGGUAAUAAAAAUAUGGGAGAAAUCGAUAACAAAAUGGACAGAAAAAUUGGUAGAAAAAUUGGAAGCAAAUUUAGCAACAACAUUGGUAGCAGUAUUGACAACGGCAUUUCUAAUGGCAUUUCUAACGGCAUUUCUAACGGCAUUUCUAACGGUAUUUUUAACGGCAUUAGUAACGGUAUUGACGGUACAAGAGGAAUACAAUAUGAAAACAAAACAUAUGAUAAAAGAGAUAUUUAUGAUAAUAACAGAAAUUAUAUAAGUGACAAAAGUGAUGAUAUAUUUAAUGAUAAUCAAACAUCUAUUAUAAAAAAACAUAUUAUAAAUAAUGUUAAUUUUGAUAAAUUAAAAUUAGCUGCAUCUUAUUUAGAUACAGAAAAUAUAUAUAAUGUAGAUAAUGGUAUUCGUGAUAAUAGUAUUCAUAAUAAUAUAACUAUUGAUGGAAAACAAAAAAAAGCAGUACUAGAAGAAGUAGGUGUAAAAAAAAUAACAAUAUCCCUAAUGAUCAAUCUAUUAAACGAGAUAAUACAUAUAAAAAAUUAAUAAAUAGUAAUCACAUAGGUACAAAUAACACAACACAAAAUGUUUCAAAUAUUCAAAAAAUACAACACAUUAUAUACAUAUGCAAAUGGUAGCCCUGUGAUAACAGACAUGGCUAGUCCAAACAAAAGUAAAAUGAACAUAGAUAUGCACACUAAUUUUAGUAAUGGAAAUAAUUAUCAUUACGAUUAUUAUAGUAAUAA
ensembl:lncRNA